rnacentral:misc_RNA from 1 species
GAUGAAGAACGCAGCGAAAUGCGAUAAGUAAUGUGAAUUGCAGAAUUCAGUGAAUCAUCGAAUCUUUGAACGCACAUUGCGCCCGCCAGUAUUCUGGCGGGCAUGCCUGUUCGAGCGUCAUUUCAACCCUCAAGCCCCUGGGCUUGGUGUUGGGGAUCGGCGGGCCCUCGCGGCGCGCCGUCCCCUAAAUCUAGUGGCGGUCUCGCUGUAGCUUCCUCUGCGUAGUAGCAACACUCGCACUGGAUCGCAGCGCGGCCACGCCGUUAAACCCCCCACUUCUGAAAGUUUGACCUCGGAUCAGGUAGGAAUACCCGCUGAACUUAAGCAUAUCAAUAAGCGGAGGA